GUAGCUCCUCAGAAUGAUAUUUG
rnacentral:piRNA from 1 species